UAAAUGUGUAUUUACUUUUAUUGUAAAAUUAGGACACGGAGAUGAUACAGCGCAUAGGGAGAAGAGUCUAGCUAACUCAAACAAGAAUUACUUGAUAUCAUUACGUUCAUUACACAUCAUUAAUGAAGGACCUCAAACAUGUUGCCAAUGAAGUAGAAGUUCAAAACUACAAGGAGAAAGGUUAAAAGAGAAUAUUGGGUGCUCUAAUUCUGUUAAUAUCACUGAUGUCUUAUAUAGAAGGAAAUUUCUCAAGUGCAAAUCGUUCUACAAAACUGGAUCCAGUACGCUGCAGCUCUUCGUGGUACGUCCAGAUCCAUAAGAAGUGUUUGCAUAUAUCAGAGCCUGUCACAUGAUGGUUUUGAGAUUGAGCAUGCCGACCACCGAUGUUUCUGCUAUUUUCUUGAAUGUCUUCAUCACUUCAUCUAUUAAAGGGAUUGGCAACAUGGUAUUUAUAUUUGAUGACAACCACCAGCGAUAAAUGUACAAAAAGGUACGAAAAAGUCAAAUUAGCAUUUAAAAUUAGCGAAACGUCAUUUCUAAUCAAUGUCAGUUCAAAAAUGAAUUAAAAAUCGUUGAGCGAAUGGGAAAUGUAAGAAUUUAUGUAAAACUAGUUAAAUUAAUGAAUAAAUCUAAAAGUAAUGAUUAAAUUGGUGAAUAGAGGUGGACGAAAAGCCUCGAUUUUGACAAAAAUCAAGUAAAAGAAUAAUAUUCAUGGAGAAGAUUACCUCAUUCGUAACACUCACCGUCGAUUAUAUGAUACUGCUCUGGGUUAAUGAUGCUACGAAAAUUUAGUAUCAAAAGAUUGAUACAGAGGUUUACGUUGGAUGGAGGCUACACAAUGUUGUAAUAAAGUUUAUUACCAGUACAAAAACCAACAUUUUGUACACACAAUUGAAGUACUUGGAGGUUUAAUUCAAUUUAAUUCACUGUGUGUUGCUGUUGUUUCUUUAAAGAUGAAUGAAACGAAAACGAAACGAAUAAGAAAUUUGAAAAACUCGCGCAACGAUUCCGAUGAAACCGUCGUCGUCGGCGCAGAACUGAAACUGUUUCGUUUUCUGUAUUGGAGUGUUUCAGAUGCUGUUCGUUCGGGUUUCAAUUUUGGCAUUUUCUCUUGUAACAUUAUUAUAAAGAAGAAAAUCUUGGAUCAUCCUUUGAAGAAGCUGUCUGUUCUAAACUUAUCAAAGGAUGCGAGCUUUAUGGGUUUUAAUUAAGAUGAGGAAAAAGUCGAUCUAAAAUAGAGAAACAUCAUCUAUAAAAAGAGAGGAUUAAGUAGAAGAAAUCAACUUAGCUUUAGGAUCUCCACUGCAGAGAUUGAUCAGAAAGUUUUCAAACAUAAGUAAGUAACCUACUCUUAGUUUUAAUAUGUCGGAAUAGAAUUAUGUUUAUAAACAAACGCUACAAGAAUCCAAAAAGGUAUUUAUUUAGAUAUCUAACAUUAUUGAUAUUUUAACAUUUCAAUUUUUAUAAAUGACUCAAAACUUAUCCAUCCAUCUAUAUUUGCGCAGACGAACUAAAUUAUUAACUAACAAAUGUAUAGCAAAGUUCCAAACUAUUUCUUCAACAUAUAAUUUAAAACAACGCUAGAUGUCGCUUACACUAAUAAAUUCAAAAUAUUAUUUCACCUUAUUUUAUUUAUU
rnacentral:lncRNA from 1 species